AUUGAACGCUGGCGGCAUGCCUUACACAUGCAAGUCGAACGGCAGCACGGGAGCAAUCCUGGUGGCGAGUGGCGAACGGGUGAGUAAUAUAUCGGAACGUGCCCAGUCGUGGGGGAUAACGUAGCGAAAGCUACGCUAAUACCGCAUACGAUCUACGGAUGAAAGCGGGGGAUCGCAAGACCUCGCGCGAUUGGAGCGGCCGAUAUCAGAUUAGGUAGUUGGUGAGGUAAAGGCUCACCAAGCCGACGAUCUGUAGCUGGUCUGAGAGGACGACCAGCCACACUGGGACUGAGACACGGCCCAGACUCCUACGGGAGGCAGCAGUGGGGAAUUUUGGACAAUGGGCGCAAGCCUGAUCCAGCAAUGCCGUGUGCAGGAUGAAGGCCUUCGGGUUGUAAACUGCUUUUGUACGGAACGAAACGGUGAGCUCUAAUACAGUUUGCUAAUGACGGUACCGUAAGAAUAAGCACCGGCUAACUACGUG
rnacentral:rRNA from 1 species